rnacentral:rRNA from 1 species
GACGUAGGGCGCGAGCGUUGUCCGGAUUUACUGGGCGUAAAGAGCGCGCAGGCGGUUGUGCAAGUCGCGUGUGAAAGCCCCCGGCUCAACUGGGGAGGGUCACGCGAUACUGUUCGACUUGAAGGCAGGAGAGGGAAGUGGAAUUCCCGGUGUAGUGGUGAAAUGCGUAGAUAUCGGGAGGAACACCAGUGGCGAAGGCGACUACCUGGCCUGUUUCUUGACGCUGAGGCGCGAAAGCUAGGGGAGCAAACGGG